rnacentral:lncRNA from 1 species
UAUAAACUCAGUGAGUAAACAAACAUCAUCUAAAAUAUCUAAAGUCGAGUAAAUGGAGACAACUUAAAAUAGUUCAUCGUACUAUGAUUCAUAACGUUUCAAACUCAUUUAAACUAAAUAAAAUAAUUUCAUUUCACUCAAAUAAUCAACAUGGCUUAUGAAUUUCUUAAAAAUUUGGCUCGUGCCAAAACUCAUUCUCGGGGAUACCUUGGCCGGGGCAUCCAACCGAGUCCGCCAAGGCUGUUAAAGAAAAGUUCAUAUACGCAUAAAACACAUUUUUACGUUUAAAAGCAUAGCCGUUCCUUGGCGUUGGCUGAGUUCACCCUCACGUGGUGGUUUAGCGUGUAGUGAACUCUAAAGCUUUACCUCAGGAGAUACCCUCCGCGCCUCUCGUACCGAGGUAAAAUAUAAUCGAGUUUACCAUGCCCCUCUCUA